rnacentral:rRNA from 1 species
UGGGGAAUUUUGCGCAAUGGGCGAAAGCCUGACGCAGCGACGCCGCGUGUGCGAUGAAGGCCUUUGGGUCGUAAAGCACUGUCGGUCGGGACGAAAACCAACGGGCUAAUACCUCGUUGGCUUGACGGUACCGGCAAAGGAAGCACCGGCUAACUCUGUGCCAGCAGCCGCGGUAAUACAGAGGGUGCAAACGUUGCUCGGAAUUAUUGGGCGUAAAGCGCAUGUAGGCGGCAUGGUAAGUCGACUGUGAAAGCCCUUGGCUCAACCAAGGAAGUGCAGUCGAAACUGCCAAGCUUGAGUCCCGAAGAGGGUGGCAGAAUGGCCAGUGUAGAGGUGAAAUUCGUAGAUAUUGGCUAGAAUACCAGUGGCGAAGGCGGCCACCUGGGAGGGUACUGACGCU